AACGAACGCUGGCGGCAUGCCUAACACAUGCAAGUCGAACGAAGCCUUCGGGCUUAGUGGCGCACGGGUGCGUAACGCGUGGGAAUCUGCCCUUUGGUUCGGAAUAACAGUUGGAAACGACUGCUAAUACCGGAUGAUGACGAAAGUCCAAAGAUUUAUCGCCAGAGGAUGAGCCCGCGUAGGAUUAGCUAGUUGGUGUGGUAAAGGCGCACCAAGGCGACGAUCCUUAGCUGGUCUGAGAGGAUGAUCAGCCACACUGGGACUGAGACACGGCCCAGACUCCUUCGGGAGGCAGCAGUGAGGAAUAUUGGACAAUGGGCGAAAGCCUGAUCCAGCAAUGCCGCGUGAGUGAUGAAGGCCCUAGGGUUGUAAAGCUCUUUUACCCGGGAUGAUAAUGACAGUACCGGGAGAAUAAGCCCCGGCUAACUCCGUGCCAGCCGCCGCAGUAA
rnacentral:rRNA from 1 species